rnacentral:rRNA from 1 species
UACGUAGGGUGCAAGCGUUGUCCGGAAUCAUUGGGCGUAAAGCGCACGUAGGCGGCUAUAAAAGUCGGAUGUGAAAUCCCUCGGCUCAACCAAGGAAGUGCACCCGAAACUGUAUAGCUUGAGUACCAAAGAGGAUCGCGGAAUUCCCGGUGUAGAGGUGAAAUUCGUAGAUAUCGGGAGGAACACCAGUGGCGAAGGCGGCGAUCUGGGUGGUUACUGACGCUGAGGUGCGAAAGCGUGGGGAGCAAACAGG